rnacentral:lncRNA from 1 species
UUCCGCUGCAGCCAGCUGCCUGCAAUUUGGCAGAUUGAAUCCCACCAGGCUCAUCCUUCCGAGCUAUUCGUCAAACUCCUCCUUUUCAGGAAAGAACAGAAAGAAGUUCAUGCAAAUCAUCAUCCAUUUUAGAUUUGAAGUCUGCCAAUUUGGAAGAAGAAACAUCAACUCAACUUGACUCCUCCAUUACACUGGCAUCUGCAUGUGAACAUUUUGGUAUCUAUUUUUAUAACAAGGCAAACCAAAAAAUCAAUUUUUUUGAAAAUAGAAACACUUAUUAUAGAAAGAUUGAACGCUAAUUGCUGAGAACAACAGUUUAUUUUUGAGCAAACUCUAAUCUUGACAUCUUGUCUUUUUAACUCUUGAUUGUACUUUGGAUUGUUCCCUUGAAUUUGUA